rnacentral:rRNA from 1 species
UACGGGGGGAGCAAGCGUUGUUCGGAUUUACUGGGCGUAAAGGGCGCGUAGGCGGCCACCGCAAGUCAAUUGUGAAAUCUCCGGGCUUAACUCGGAAAGGUCAACUGAUACUGCGGGGCUAGAGUGCGGAAGGGGCAACUGGAAUUCUCGGUGUAGCGGUGAAAUGCGUAGAUAUCGAGAGGAACACCUGCGGCGAAGGCGGGUUGCUGGGCCGACACUGACGCUGGUGCGCGAAAGCCAGGGGAGCGAACGGG